GGGGAAUUUUGGACAAUGGGCGCAAGCCUGAUCCAGCCAUGCCGCGUGCAGGAUGAAGGCCUUCGGGUUGUAAACUGCUUUUGUACGGAACGAAAAGACUCUGGUUAAUACCUGGGGUCCAUGACGGUACCGUAAGAAUAAGCACCGGCUAACUACGUGCCAGCAGCCGCGGUAAUACGUAGGGUGCGAGCGUUAAUCGGAAUUACUGGGCGUAAAGCGUGCGCAGGCGGUUAUAUAAGACAGAUGUGAAAUCCCCGGGCUCAACCUGGGAACUGCAUUUGUGACUGUAUAGCUAGAGUACGGCAGAGGGGGAUGGAAUUCCGCGUGUAGCAGUGAAAUGCGUAGAUAUGCGGAGGAACACCGAUGGCGAAGGCAAUCCCCUGGGCCUGUACUGACGCUCAUGCACGAAAGCGUGGGGAGCAAACA
rnacentral:rRNA from 1 species